CACUCUAAGGGAGACUGCCGGGCUAGAAAUCGGAGGAAAGGUGGGGAUGACGUCAAAUCUACUCAUGCACCCUUAUGACCUAGGGCCUACAACACGUGUCUACAAUGGGCGGGUACAAAAGGGCAGCGAACCGCGAGGGGGAGCGAAUCCCCAAACAAGCGGCUCUCAGUUCGGAUUGCAGUCUGCAACUGGCCUGCAUGAAGCCGGAUAUCGCUAGUAAUCGCGGAUCGAGCAUGCCGCGGUGACAUACGUUCU
rnacentral:rRNA from 1 species